UGGAGGCGGCUUUCAGCAGCUGCCAAGGUCCCUGAGGGCGCUCGCGGCAGGGGAGGAUCAAGGAAAGGCUUGUUUAUUAUAGGGUCGCGUUGCUGGGGGGAGGGGACAGCCCUUGGCUGCCCUGGGACGAAGAGUUAGGGGACCCGGAGCGGCGAUGAACAAGGGGAGACAGAGUAGAACACCUGGACCCUGAUGGAAGAAAAACCAAACUUACAUCAGACACUUUGGCCCGGAGGGCAGGAACCAAACCAGAUCAGACUGGCGAGUAUCAGAUCGCUGCAGGGCAGAUCUGCCGCUUGCGAGGAGACAUCGGAUGGGGCGGUGAGAUGAAAUGCUUCUGCAGGAGAAGGUGACAUCAUCGUGUGGUGUCUUUCACGGAGUGGGAGAGAGUUGAGGGCCUGUGUGAGUGAAUCUUCCCGCUGCCAGGAAGAAAGGAGAAAGAAAUCAAUUGACCAGCAGGGCACCCAUUCCUCCUACGAGGCUGAGCCCAUUGGAGAUAGACUAUGGACGCUUUUUUCUUCACCAUUUUGUUUUUUUGUCUGUGCUGGGGAUGAAUCCGGUGCUUCAGGCAUGCUAGGCACAGCCCUGGCUCUAGGCUGCAUCUCCAGCCUCCCCUCCCCACUCUUCCCUCUCCUCUUUUUACAUUUUUUUUUUUUUUGUAGGAAAAAAAAAUACUUCAGAAAAAUAUGACGCAUUGGCCCAGGAAAAACAGUUUUCCUUUGAAGUGAAUAUUAAUAAACAAAAGAAUCCCUGGCCAGUUUGGGAAGGGGUUUAUUAGAAUUCAAUCAUUCAUCCAACAGAAAACCAUCAAGGGCUAUGUAAGCCUCCCCCCCCCCCCCCCCCCCCCCGCCUUUGGUGAUUAUUU